CUACAGAGGGUGCAAGCGUUAAUCGGAAUUACUGGGCGUAAAGCGCGCGUAGGCGGUUUGUUAAGUCGGAUGUGAAAUCCCUGGGCUCAACCUGGGAACUGCAUUCGAAACUGAUUGACUAGAGUAUGGUAGUGGGUGGUGGAAUUCCUAGUGUAGCGGUGAAAUGCGUAGAUAUUAGGGGGAACAUCAGUGGCGAAGGCGACCACCUGGACCAAUACUGACGCUGAGGUGCGAAAGCGUGGGGAGCAAACAGGAUUAGAAACCCUAGUAGUCC
rnacentral:rRNA from 1 species